AGAACGAACGCUGGCGGCGUGCCUAACACAUGCAAGUCGAGCGGUGAAGUCCCUUCGGGGGCGGAUCAGCGGCGAACGGGUGAGUAACACGUGGGCAACCUGCCCCUAGCACUGGGAUAACUCCGGGAAACCGGGGCUAAUACCGGAUAUGACCUUUGAGGGCAUCCUCGAAGGUGUAAAGGAUUCUGGCUAGGGAUGGGCCCGCGGCCUAUCAGCUUGUUGGUGGGGUAAUGGCCUACCAAGGCGACGACGGGUA
rnacentral:rRNA from 1 species